AUUGAACGCUGGCGGCAUGCUUUACACAUGCCAGUCGAACGGCAGCGCGGGCUUCGGCCUGGCGGCGAGUGGCGAACGGGUGAGUAAUGCAUCGGAACGUGCCCAGUAGUGGGGGAUAGCCCGGCGAAAGCCGGAUUAAUACCGCAUACGACCUGAGGGUGAAAGCGGGGGACCGAAAGGCCUCGCGCUAUUGGAGCGGCCGACGUCGGAUUAGCUAGUUGGUGGGGUAAAGGCUUACCAAGGCGACGAUCCGUAGCUGGUCUGAGAGGACGACCAGCCACACUGGGACUGAGACACGGCCCAGACUCCUACGGGAGGCAGCAGUGGGGAAUUUUGGACAAUGGGGGCAACCCUGAUCCAGCCAUGCCGCGUGCGGGAAGAAGGCCUUCGGGUUGUAAACCGCUUUUGUUCGGGAAGAAAUCCUCUGGGCUAAUACCCCGGGGGGAUGACGGUACCGGAAGAAUAAGCACCGGCUAACUACGUG
rnacentral:rRNA from 1 species